rnacentral:rRNA from 1 species
AACCUGGUUGAUCCUGCCAGUAGUCAUAUGCUUGUCUCAAAGACUAAGCCAUGCAUGUCUAAGUAUAAGUAUUAUACAGCGAGACUGCGAAUGGCUCAUUAAAACAGUUAUAAUUUAUUUGAUAAUCGAAUUUACAUGGAUAACCGUGGUAAUUCUAGAGCUAAUACAUGCCGGUAGGCCCGACUUUUUGGAAGGGCGGUAUUUAUUAGAUAACAAACCAAUAUUCCUCUGGUCUAUUGUGGUGAAUCAUAAUAACUGAUCGAAUCGCAAGGUUUUUAACCGCGAUAAGUCAUUCAAGUUUCUGCCCCAUCAGCUUUCGAUGGUAGUGUAUUGGACUACCAUGGCUUUUACGGGUAACGGAGGAUUAGGGUUCGAUUCCGGAGAGGGAGCCUGAGAAACGGCUACCACAUCUAAGGAAGGCAGCAGGCGCGUAAAUUACCCAAUCCUGACUCAGGGAGGUAGUGACAAGAAAUAACGGACCGAGGCCUUCGGGCUUCGGGAUUGCAAUGAGCCGAAUUUACACCCCUUAGCGAAGAUCGAU